rnacentral:rRNA from 1 species
UACGGGGGGGGCAAGCGUUGUUCGGAAUUACUGGGCGUAAAGGGCUCGUAGGCGGCCAACUAAGUCGGACGUGAAAUCCCCAGGCUCAACCUGGGAACUGCGUCUGAUACUGGAUGGCUUGAAUCCGGGAGAGGGAUGCAGAAUUCCAGGUGUAGCGGUGAAAUGACGUAGAUAUCUGGAGGAAUACCGGUGGCGAAGGCGGCAUCCUGGACCGGCAUUGACGCUGAGGAGCGAAAGCUAGGGGAGCAAACGGGG